rnacentral:rRNA from 1 species
UGGGGAAUUUUGCGCAAUGGGGGAAACCCUGACGCAGCAACGCCGCGUGAGUGAUGAAGGCCUUCGGGUCGUAAAGCCCUGUCAGGUGGGAAGAAAGGUUUCAAGGAGAAACACUUGGGAUUUGACGGUACCACAAGAGGAAGCACCGGCUAACUCCGUGCCAGCAGCCGCGGUAAUACGGAGGGUGCGAGCGUUAUUCGGAAUUACUGGGCGUAAAGCGCGUGUAGGCGGGGAUGCAAGUCUGAUGUGAAAGCCCUGGGCUUAACCUGGGAAGUGCAGUGGAAACUGCAUUUCUUGAGUACUGGAGAGGAAGGGGGAAUUCCCGGUGUAGAGGUGAAAUUCGUAGAGAUCGGGAGGAAUACCAGUGGCGUAGGCGCCCUUCUGGACGGUUACUGACGCUGAGACGCGAAAUCGUGGGGAGCAAACA